AUCCUUCAUAAAAAAGGCAAACUUGAAUAAAUCUAACAAAUCUGAAGUAAAAUGAAUAAAUAUGACAGGAAAAAGAUUCAAACAAUGUUUCCUAUUGUUAAUGCAUGUUGAAAAAUAUGAAUAUGACCAUAUCUCUUAGAAAAAAGAAUAACUGAUAUAGGAGAGAAAGUCAAAGCUGGUAGAACUACUAAAAAUAUAAAAUAAUAUAUAUAUUAUAAAAAAAUAUCUUGACUUUACCAUUGAUAGAGAGGUGGAGAGAUUAUUAGGAAAUAGAAGAGAGAGAUAGGGUUGGUUGA
rnacentral:lncRNA from 1 species